GACGAACGCUGGCGGCGUGCUUAACACAUGCAAGUCGAACGGAAAGGCCCUGCUUUUGUGGGGUGCUCGAGUGGCGAACGGGUGAGUAACACGUGAGUAACCUGCCCUUGACUUUGGGAUAACUUCAGGAAACUGGGGCUAAUACCGGAUAGGAGCUCCUGCUGCAUGGUGGGGGUUGGAAAGUUUCGGCGGUUGGGGAUGGACUCGCGGCUUAUCCGCUUGUUGGUGGGGUAGUGGCUUACCAAGGCUUUGACGGGUAGCCGGCAUGAGAGGGUGACCGGCGACAUUGGUACUGAGAGACGGCCCAGACUCCUACGGGAGGCAGCAGUGGGGAAUAUUGCACAGUGGGCGGAAGCCUGAUGCAGCAACGCCGCGUGCGGGAUGACGGCCUUCGGGUUGUGAACCGCUUUCGCCUGUGACGAAGCGUGAGUGACGGUAAUGGGUAAAGAAGCACCGGCUAACUACGUG
rnacentral:rRNA from 1 species